rnacentral:rRNA from 1 species
AACGAACGCUGGCAGCAUGCCUAACACAUGCAAGUCGAACGAGACCUUCGGGUCUAGUGGCGCACGGGUGCGUAACGCGUGGGAAUCUGCCCUUAGGUUCGGAAUAACAGUUAGAAAUGACUGCUAAUACCGGAUGAUGACUUCGGUCCAAAGAUUUAUCGCCUGAGGAUGAGCCCGCGUAGGAUUAGCCUGUUGGUGAGGUAAAGGCUCACCAAGGCGACGAUCCUUAGCUGGUCUGAGGGGAUGAUCAGCCACACUGGGACUGAGACACGGCCCAGACUCCUACGGGAGGCAGCAGUGGGGAAUAUUGGACAAUGGGCGCAAGCCUGAUCCAGCAAUGCCGCGUGAGUGAUGAAGGCCUUAGGGUUGUAAAGCUCUUUUACCCGGGAUGAUAAUGACCGUACCGGGAGAAUAAGCUCCGGCUAACUCCGUGCCAGCAGCCGCGGUAAUACGGAGGGAGCUAGCGUUGUUCGGAAUUACUGGGCGU